rnacentral:piRNA from 1 species
UAAAUCACAAUUGACAAAAGCCUGAGUCAU